UACAGAGGUCUCAAGCGUUGUUCGGAUUCAUUGGGCGUAAAGGGUGCGUAGGCGGCGCGGUAAGUCGGGUGUGAAAUCUCGGAGCUUAACUCCGAAACUGCAUUCGAUACUGCCGUGCUUGAGGACUGGAGAGGAGACUGGAAUUUACGGUGUAAGCGGUGAAAUGCGUAGAUAUCGUAAGGAAGACCAGUGGCGGAAGGCGGG
rnacentral:rRNA from 1 species